AACGUUAAGCUAUUAACAUGAAGAUAUAUUAUGUAGUGUCCAUUUUUGAGAUAUAUAAAUAUCAUUGAUUU
rnacentral:tRNA from 1 species